UACGGAGGGUGCAAGCGUUGUUCGGAAUCACUGGGCGUAAAGGGCGCGUAGGCGGCUCACUAAGUCCGAUGUGAAAGCCCGGGGCUUAACUCCGGAAGGGCAUUGGAAACUGGUGGGCUUGAGUUCGGGAGAGGAGGGCAGAAUUCCCGGUGUAGGGUUGAAAUCCGUAGAUAUCGGGAGGAAAACCGGUGGCGAAGGCGGCCCUCUGGAACGAAACUGACGCUGAGGCGCGAAAGCGUGGGGAGCAAACAGG
rnacentral:rRNA from 1 species